CUUAUACUCCCUCCGUCCGGAAAUACUUGUCGGAGGAAUGUAUGUAUCUAGACGUAUUUUAAUUCUAGAUACAUCCAUUUUUAUGCAUUUCUCCGACAAGUAUUUCAGGAUGGAGGGAGUUCAGU
rfam:Triticum aestivum genome assembly, contig: Triticum_aestivum_CS42_TGACv1_scaffold_404801_5BL